GGGAAUGACUCAGCAACACAGCCAAGCCUGCUCCAUUCUGCCAGCUCCAUGCAUCUGCCACCCGUCCUCGGCCUUGUCCUGCUUCUUAUCCCUGCAGCACCCACACAGCUGGCCCACAGGCCUGACUCCCUGAUGCCAGUCACAAAGCCGGAAGCCAUCCUGGGGUGGGGCUGCCUCAGACCCUCCCUCAGCUCUCACCCUGGCCCCUUCCAGCUGCUUCUCUAUGCAUGGGGAUCCUCACAGGACCUCGUUCACCACUGCCCAGUGAGGACGCACUCUGACUGUCCUCAUCCACAGAUUCAGAAAAGGAGCACCACCAGGCCACCCCCCAUUUGUGCCCUCUACUGAGGGAUAGGUCUGUCCCCAGGGCUAAAGUUACCAGCACGGACACUCACUAAAGGACUGCAGCAGCAGCAAUGAAGAGAAACAGCUAGAAACAACCUGUGCUCAUCCGGAAAGAUGCUUCCUGUAAAUCACUGUGCAUCUGCAGGGCAGGACCCCCAGCAGCCACUGGAGAGGCUAGGCGCUGUCUGUGCACAUGGUGCCUUCUGGAAAUGAGAAUCAAUUGCUUAAAAACCAUAAUAUACUACAUAAAGAAAACACCGUGGUUAUCUGACUUCAGAGUUCAGACUCCAAACCCUGAGAGAGGACAGCCUAGCAGACUCUGGACUAGGGAAUUGGACUCGAGUUUUAACUAGGCAAAGAGCCACCUGGAAUAAAGACUUAUCUCCUAAUCAUCUUUGCAUGUAGAUUUGCUCACGUGACUAUGUCCCAGCAAAUGGGAGCCAAAUGGAAGUAUGAGGAUCGAACUUGGGUCCUUGCACUUGCGCAGCAGGAGGCGAAACCACUGAGCUAAAUCCCUGGCCCUGAGCAGCCUGUUUGGACCAUGAAUUGAAAGUGCAGCUCAGCCUCUCAGACCAACUGUGCAGCUCUGAGUUUUCUCAGUGGAGGAUGUCCCUCUGGGACAAGGUGAUUCAAAGCUUGCGACACAUGGUCAUGCUCAGGGUAGCACUGGCUCCUCACAACUCCAACAACAGGGGCUAUGACUGCAAUCUUCAGAGGAGAAAGCAAGGACCCGGAACUUGGAAACUGCUUGCUCAGGAUCAGCCACGAGGAAGUGCAGGAGCAGGAACUUGAACCCCGGGUUUUGAAUGAAAAACUUCACCUACCUGAAACAAAGGCUGCACAUGAGAUUCUUACACAAAGGCACCCUUUUCCCAACUGCUCAUCCCAACACGGAGGCCCUGGGUCAGGUUUGUGACGUCCUGAGGUGCUGAAGGGGUGGGACAAGGGAGGGGAAAGCUGUCAGGCAAUCCCUCAGCAGCUUGGAGGUCUGGGAGACAGAUUCGACCAGCACUGGUGAUAGCCCAAACAGUGCAUUUGCACAAACAGAACAAGGAACAGAAACUCGAGUUGCUUUACUGCCAUCUACUGGAAAUUUGUCAUAAUAAUCAUUCAAAUUUGUGGUAAAUGGGGAAAAAAAAAGAAGCCUCCCUAGAAUCAUACAGUGUAGAACCUGAACAACAUGUGGAGCAGCCCUAGAUGCACCUUUUCUCACUUGAGAGCAUGAAAAAAAAAAAAAAAAAAGACCCAUCACCAUGGAGGCUCCAGUCCUGUCUGCUUCCUUCUUGCAUGAGAGUCCCUGGCUCAUCCAGAGGUGCUACAGCCAUCUGCCUGCCCUAGUUUCACCAUGAGACCCAGUAGAAUCCAUGCAUCCUUCCACCCACUCCAGGCACACAUCCCAGACACCUACGCUGGGCCAGGUACCUAUCUGAAUUUUUCACCAAUUACUAGCUGUGCGUACUUGGACAUUUUCUUAGGCUACUGUCUACUCUUCAGUAUGAAGGGAUAAUAACCCAGCUGGCACUGUGAAUGAGACUUAAGUGAGAUAAUAUAUGUAAAGUCCUAGAAGCCAGUGGCUGACCCUGGACCUACUGCCAGCACCAUUAGAUCUGAGUUACACACAUGCAUGCAUGGGUGGCCAAAGGGAAGACAGGCUCUGGCACAUCUUCCCUCAGAAACAAUCAGGAAACUGUGGCACAAAUGCAUGAAUAUAAAGUUCUCAGUGUGAAGCUGAGCCCAGAGCACAGUGAGUGCCUGGGCACUGGCUUUUCUCCUUUUCCUCUAGUCCUGGCUGGAUCUGAAGCUGGCUAGGUGAGUUCAGGGUCCCUUUGAUUCCCAGGGAGAGAGAACAGUUGCAAGUUUCCUUUACCUGCAGGAAGAGGCUUCCAGACUACUGUGUGGCCAAGCCUCUGGACACCUCCAUUUCUGGCUCAAAGCAAGGCCACAGACCCAUAGAGUUUUAGUUUCUUCAUCCAUGAAAUGAAGCCAGUCAUAUUUACUUUGUAGCCAUUUAGGUAAUGCAAGAAGUAACUAAAAGGCCUCCAACCAUGCUGGAAACAAGCUAAACACAAAAUAAAUUAGAGAUGCAAUCUCAGCUCUGGGACCCAGGGGGCGUCUGGAGCCAGCUGAAGGAUUCUAUUCUCUGCCAUCAAACUGCCUACCACAAUUGGCAUGAGCACUUGAAAUUGCAGGUCCUAAAACUGAUGAGGAGGCAGGAUUGAGCUCACUCCAUCUCGCUCCUCCUAUGGGAGGGAAGUUGGUACACACUUUCCAGUGGGUAGGUAGGCAACAGGAUCCUUUUGACCCAGCCAUUUCAUUUCUAGGAAUUCAGCUAAGGAAAUAGUCACAGGCCCCUCAGAGUGUUGUGCUAGGACAUUCAUUGCAAUGUUGCUAAUAAUAGUGAGAAACUGGAAAUAAUCUAAAGUUAGAGACACAUUCAAUACACAUCUUGGCUGGAUGCCAAAUGGUCAAGUGCUAAGAUCAGUACUCAGCAGAAGCCAAGGCCAACGCUUUCCACCAUCUUCAUGCAGCCAGUGUCUUUGGUAAAGGAGUGAAUUUCAAGAAAAUGUUAUCAGACUUUGCAGUGCCAACAUCCUAAUCGACAUGUUUCACUGCCAGUGUUUGACAGUCUAACGUUACAGCUCAAGAACAGCAUUUUCUCAGUAUUAGCAGAAGAUGGAUUGUUUCUAUGUUAAAUACUGUGCACAUUUGUGUUAAUAAAUUGAUGCUUACAUUGACUGAUGCUUGUGGGAGAGUGUGACGGCCUCAUUUUUUCCCAAUACUUUCUUCUUUUCUCCAUAUUCUGUAUAUUCUUUCCCAUGUUGGGUUAAAUAUGAUUUGCCACAGAAAUAUUGAUCAAAAACUAUAGUCAAUGUUUAAAUAAAAAAUUAUUACAGAAAAGACACAUUGUCAUUAGUCCCCCUCACUUUGAACACACUUAUUCUAUUAUUCUUGCCACUUUCUGAAGCAGUUCUAGAAGUCUUCUUUUGUGAGUGUUUUUUUGUGUGUGAGUGCGUGUGUGUGCCUGCCUCAAUGUCCUGAACUAAUUAAAAAUGUUUACAGCAACUUCUGGCAAAUAAAAACAUUGCAGUGUGUCCUCAUCCACCUUACUUGUCAGAUCUAGCACCGUGAGGUUUCUGGUUCUUCCCCAAAGUCAAAAUGAUCAUGAAAGGUAAAUGUUUUGAACCAAUUCAAGAGAUUGAGGGACAGCCACAACAGUGCAAAUAAAGACACUCACAAAAGAAGACUUUCAGAACUGCUUCAGACAGUGGCAAAAAUGAUGGGAGAAGUGUGUUCCAAAGAGGAGGAGUAUUCUGAGGGGAAUUAAUGG
rnacentral:lncRNA from 1 species